rnacentral:snRNA from 1 species
GUAGCAUGGCCCCUGCACAAGGAUGACACAAAUUCGUGAAGCGUUCCAUAUUUUU